rnacentral:rRNA from 1 species
AUUGAACGCUGGCGGCAUGCCUUACACAUGCAAGUCGAACGGUAACGCGGGGCAACCUGGCGACGAGUGGCGAACGGGUGAGUAAUGCAUCGGAACGUGCCCAGUAGUGGGGGAUAGCCCGGCGAAAGCCGGAUUAAUACCGCAUACGACCUAAGGGUGAAAGCGGGGGAUCGCAAGACCUCGCGCUAUUGGAGCGGCCGAUGUCGGAUUAGCUAGUUGGUGGGGUAAAGGCCUACCAAGGCAACGAUCCGUAGCUGGUAUGAGAGGACGACCAGCCACACUGGGACUGAGACACGGCCCAGACUCCAACGGGAGGCAGCAGUGGGGAAUUUUGGACAAUGGGCGCAAGCCUGAUCCAGCCAUGCCGCGUGCGGGAAGAAGGCCUUCGGGUUGUAAACCGCUUUUGUCAGGGAAGAAACGGUCUGGGUUAAUACCUCGGGCUAAUGACGGUACCUGAAGAAUAAGCACCGGCUAACUACGUGCCAGCAGCCGCAGUAA